UGGCCCAGCGAUGGCGACUGGGGGUGUGUGAGUCAUGCACAGUGAAUGUCAUGUUCCUGGAACGCUGAGGUUCCA
ensembl:snoRNA SNORD114-11 small nucleolar RNA, C/D box 114-11